rnacentral:rRNA from 1 species
UGAGGAACAUGACCUUCGGCGGGGGAUAGCCGGCCCAACGGCCGGGUAAUACCGCGUACGACCACUCGGGGACAUCCCUAGGUGGUGAAAGCAGCAAUGCGCCGAUUGAGUGCCUCGCGGCCUAUCAGCUAGUUGGUGGGGUAACGGCUCACCAAGGCAACGACGGGUAGCUGGUCUGAGAGGAUGGCCAGCCACAUUGGAACUGAGACACGGUCCAGACCUCCGUACGGGGAGGNAGCG